CCAGCCCUCUGGUUUUGAUUUAAGUUUGGGUCUCUGUGAGGCAAGAGUCCCAGAGUCCUUGACCCUCAAAGGGACAACUCAGCCAGUGGCACCAUAGUUUGUAACAAAUAUGAAGAUGCGGCCCUGUGUCAGUCAGGCAGCCAGUACUAAGGUGACUGCCUGGAGUUUGGCCAAUUGUGUUGACCCUUGAGUCCUGUCCUUCACUGGGGACAUUCUGACUGAGAGAUGGAAAGCAGCCAUCAUCCACUGAGCUUCCUCAUUCUUACAAUGGUUGGCAGUGUGGUUCCUACCAUCUGUGUUCACUCAGCUAAUCCCAGGGGCUCUCCAGGUAGCCACGAGGUCUGAGAGAAGGCUUUUGGCCACCUCAAGUUUUUGGGUUUUGUCUCAGGCUG
rnacentral:lncRNA from 10 species